rnacentral:RNase_P_RNA from 1 species
AUGGCCGGAGGGUCCGUCGCUCGUCUUCAAUAUAAAGGGCGGGAGGAAAGUCCGGGCAACACAGAGCACCAUAUUUCCUAACGGGAAGCUAUCGGUAACGGUAGAGUAAUGUGACAGAAAAUAACCGCCCCCGCCUGCGGGGGUAAGGGUGAAAAGGUGAGGUAAGAGCUCACCGGGCGCCACAGCGAUAUGGCGUGCCGCACAUCUUAUGGGUUGCAAGGUCAAGUAUACCGGCAUUCAAGGGCUGCUCGUCCAUUGCCGGGGGGUAGACUGCUCACGGCCUCACGGCCAGAUAAAUGACGGACGGUGCGGCGCAUCUCCGGCUUGCCGGAAAGUACGCCCGCCACAUAACCCGGCUUAUACUCCGACCAUGCUU